UGGCGGCAGGCCUAACACAUGCAGUCGAGCGGAUGAGUGGAGCUUGCUCCAUGAUUCAGCGGCGGACGGGUGAGUAAUGCCUAGGAAUCUGCCUGGUAGUGGGGGACAACGUUUCGAAAGGAACGCUAAUACCGCAUACGUCCUACGGGAGAAAGUGGGGGAUCUUCGGACCUCACGCUAUCAGAUGAGCCUAGGUCGGAUUAGCUAGUUGGUGAGGUAAAGGCUCACCAAGGCGACGAUCCGUAACUGGUCUGAGAGGAUGAUCAGUCACACUGGAACUGAGACACGGUCCAGACUCCUACGGGAGGCAGCAGUGGGGAAUAUUGGACAAUGGGCGAAAGCCUGAUCCAGCCAUGCCGCGUGUGUGAAGAAGGUCUUCGGAUUGUAAAGCACUUUAAGUUGGGAGGAAGGGCAGUAAGUUAAUACCUUGCUGUUUUGACGUUACCAACAGAAUAAGCACCGGCUAACUUCGUGCCAGC
rnacentral:rRNA from 2 species